CAUUGAAGAGUUUGAGCACUUGUAUUUUGAUUGCCCAGUUACCAGUAGGAUUUGGUCCAGGAUUUGUUGCUGGCUGGGCUACAAUAAAAGAAUUGGUUGUUGGAAGAAUGAGUUGACAUGGAUAUGCUGCAAUGCUAGGAGUAAACAAUUUAAAAAGGUUGUGAUAGCCAGUGCUUUUGUUACUACUGUAUCAUUGAUUUGGAGAUGCGGGAAUGCUAUUAGAUUUGAGAAGAAACCAUUUGAUGACAAUCUUGUGUGCCGAGAGAUUGCAUUUCUUAUUCAUGCACGUGGCAGAAGAUGCAAGAAAUGGUUAAAGGGGCUGCGACAACUUAAUUACUAUCCCUAGUUCCUAGUUUGAUUUGUAAUAGCAGUG
rnacentral:lncRNA from 1 species